UGUAAAGGUUUCCUUGGGCCAGACGGAGAUUGGCCCUCGAGUGCAAAGGUAGAAAGGAGCCUAACUGCGAGACCCAACCAUCGAACAGGGAUGAGAGUCGGCCUUAGU
rnacentral:rRNA from 1 species